rnacentral:lncRNA from 1 species
UGAAACUCCUUCUGUUUCGAAGAAACAAAGACCUAUUCCAGCCACUUGUUCGAGUGCUCCAGAUAAGGUAUCCAUUUAGCUUAAGACUUCUUUUCCUUUUGUCUUGAAUGUGAACUUACUAAACUGUGGCCUGUAGGAUAUUCCUGUUCUUUCGACCAUCCCUGAGCAAACUGACGCUGCCACUAUUCAAGAUCUCCCUCAUAACGCUGAACCCAUUACUGAUGAGAAGAAGAAAAAGAAGAAGAAGAAAAAAGAACACCAACCCAACCAAGAAGGUACUCCUGAACACAAGUCCUCUGANNNNNNNNNCUGCUGCAGCCACUGUUGUCGAGGCUUCUGCUACUGCAAAAGAAACAACUUCACAGCCUGAAGCUUCUGCUACCCC